rnacentral:tRNA from 1 species
AGGUCUAUCGCCAAGCGGUAAGGCAGCGGGUUUUGAUCCCGUCAUCCCAUGGUUCGAAUCCAUGUAGACCUGCCA